UCCACAUCCCCACAAAAUCAUUCUGCCACUUAGUUAUUUUAUAAAAAAUAUAUUUCUGACACCACCUCAGAUUUGACAAACAAAAUGUUGCCGUCGGCAACAACAAUUUACGAUUUGGUAAGGGGUCGAAGUACGUCGCAAAAGCCAUCCCGAAGGUUGCCAUACUGUUCGUGGACAGGCAGAUAAAAGUACUUAUAAAAUUCAUUAAUUAAUUAAAAGGAUGGCCACACGUGUUCUUUGUAUCUAAUGCUAUAUAAUUUAAUUACUUAAAUGGUCAAAGUGCGGUUAAAAAGUAAUUGCGAACAUCGGAAUUAAAACUCUGAAAAAGGUGGCAACUUAAGAUUUUCUCAAGCAAAAAUUUGGCGAAAACCAGAGCACCUAAAAACGAAAUCGUACGAUUUGGCCCAAAUCGAAAUCGAAAAAAUCUUACGAUUACCGGAGCAUGCCUGAUAAACAUUUUCUGCCUAGAAGUAUGCACUAAAUUACGUGAUACUCUGAGCCUAGCCUUACGCGACGGGAAUAACGUCGAUGCAUUUCGAUAAAAGCUUUACGAAGUUUAAGCCUAGCUUUGAUGCACAUGCAUUUUUUUAUUAGCUAGCUGCAUUUCUGCCGGAACAGAGUUUUGAAAAAAAAUAUCAGUUAGCUCAUCGAUGCGCCAGGGAAGAUCUGGAAAGCUUUAGUCUGAUUAGGAAAUUUAUGCUGUGGCAGAGAAAAGGGGCUAAGCGACUCCAUCCGUUUCCGUGCUAAAUUCUUUUCCUUUUGAGAUCCGUUAGAGUGCACAUCGUUGCAAUUGGUGAUAAGAGCCAGAAUAAUCACAUAGUGGCAGUGCCCACGUGGAUUGUGAAAAUCUGUUUGCGGGGAAAAGUGUUCGGCGAAAGCUUAACCAAACUCAAGUCACGGAAAGAGUGUCAACGGAGGCGACCAUGCGGCGGACUGGCAGCCAGUGCCAAAGGUCGGAAUUUUCCAUCUGGAAAACCCUUAUCUUCAUCGGGGCUCAACCAGCGGAUCGAGCUCAGCAAGCCGAGUUUGCGUCCCUGUCCCGAGGAGCACCCCUGGGAGGGACAUGAUGGAGUACUAAGGGAGCAGCAGCAGAAGCAGUAGGAGAAUGUUAACAAAUAAUAUCGAGUGCGGUUUAACUGGCCAACAGCGCGCAUUCGCAAAAUUCUUCAGUGGCCAGCGUUGGCGUUUUAUGGAACUUCUAAUGGGAAAUUGGCAGUGCUAAAAGUGUCCCAAUAAUUUUGACCCCAAUUAACCCUAGCACCCAUGUGGGAUUAACCUAAAAAAAUGUAGAAAGUGAAAAUAACCCCAAGGGGUAGUGUAGAUCAGUGCUAUUGGUGCGGAAUAAAGCAUCCGAUUUCCGACUGUAAA